rnacentral:rRNA from 1 species
AGAGUUUGAUCCUGGCUCAGGACGAACGCUGGCGGUGUGCUUCACACAUGCAAGUCGAACGAGGUAGCAAUACCUAGUGGCGGACGGGUGAGUAACGCGUGGGAAUCUGCCUUUAGAUGGGGGAUAACGAGCCGAAAGGUUCGCUAAUACCGCAUAUGCCGCAAGGUGAAAGGAGUAAUCCGUCUAAAGAUGAGCCCGCGUCCGAUUAGCUAGUUGGUGGGGUAAAGGCCUACCAAGGCGACGAUCGGUAGCUGGUCUGAGAGGAUGAUCAGCCACAAUGGGACUGAGACACGGCCCAUACUCCUACGGGAGGCAGCAGUGGGGAAUUUUACGCAAUGGGGGAAACCCUGACGUAGCGACACCGCGUGAGCGAAGAAGCCCUUUGGGGUGUAAAGCUCUGUCAACAGGAACGAAACAAAUGACGGUACCAGCAGAGGAAGCAUCGGCUAACUACGUGCCAGCAGCCGCGGUAAGACGUAGGAUGCAAGCGUUGUCCGGAUUUAUUGGGCGUAAAGAGUUCGUAGGCGGUUUGUUAAGUCUGAUGUUAAAGACCGGGGCUCAACCUCGGAAAUGCAUUGGAUACUGGCAGACUGGAGUGCAGUAGAGGCUAGUGGAAUUCCCAGUGUAGCGGUGAAAUGCGUAGA